rnacentral:tRNA from 1 species
GCACGAAUAGCCAAGUGGUCGAAGGCACCUGAUUGCAAACCAGGCGAGAAAUCCUCAGCGGUUCGAAUCCGUUUUCGUGCUCCA